AAGGUAUUUUAUUACACAAAGUUCAAAACAAAACCAAUACAAAUCAUCAGCUCUUAACUCGAAUUAAGGCACACACUAUUGCCAUAUAUGAUUAGACAAAUUAAUACAAAACAAACAUGUUUAACAAAACAAACAAGAGAGUUCCUGGAUACAGAAUCUGCUGCAUCAGAUGCUUCACACAAAAUGGCGUCCGCACUUUGAAAAAAAAGUCGUCUGCUGACCAGAAAUGAGCUUGAUAAUGCUCGCGCAUGCGUCGACAAGUCAUCAGGUCAGAGAGCUAUGGAACAGAGCGUCUACUCCGGGACAUAACCUGGCGGGUAGGUGAGGACCACGUUAGCGGGACAGUUGGGGGUCUGGCAACACUUGCCCGGUGCCGGCUGGUCGAGGUGACAUGUCGGCGGCAGGUUCCACGUUAGACACCUGGAAGACAAAAAGAUGACGUUUAGUCAAGACAUAUACAUCAUUAACGCAAACUAAUUUAAGU